GAAAGUUCCCCUUCGGGGUAGCAAGUAGAGUGGCGCACGGGUGAGUAACACGUAGGUAAUCUACCUUCGGAUGGGGAAUAACAACCGGAAACGGUUGCUAAUACCGCAUAAUGCAGCGGCACCUAAUGGUGACAGUUGUUAAAGCGGGGGAUCGCAAGACCUCGCGUCUGAAGAGGAGCCUGCGGCGGAUUAGCUAGUUGGUAAGGUAACGGCCUACCAAGGCGAUGAUCCGUAGCCGGCCUGAGAGGGCGGUCGGCCACACUGACACUGACAUACGGGUCAGACUCCUACGGGAGGCAGCAGUCGGGAAUUUUGGGCAAUGGGCGAAAGCCUGACCCAGCAACGCCGCGUGAAGGAUGAAAUCCCUCGGGAUGUAAACUUCGCAAGAACGGGAAGAAUAAGUCCGUGCCAACACCACGGGCGAUGACGGUACUGUUUGUAAGCUCCGGCUAACUCCGUGCCAGCAGCCGCGGUAAUACGGGGGGAGCAAGCGUUGUUCGGAUUUACUGGGCGUAAAGGGCGCGUAGGCGGCCACCGCAAGUCGGUUGUGAAAUCUCCGGGCUUAACCCGGAAAGGUCAACCGAUACUGCGGGGCUAGAGUGCAGAAGGGGCAACUGGAAUUCUCGGUGUAGCGGUGAAAUGCGUAGAUAUCGAGAGGAACACCUGCGGCGAAGGCGGGUUGCUGGGCUGACACUGACGCUGAGGCGCGAAAGCUAGGGGAGCGAACGGGAUUAGAUACCCCGGUAGUCCUAGCCUUAAACGAUGGAUGCUUGGUGUCUGGGGUUUUAUAGUCCCCGGGUGCCGUCGCUAACGCUUUAGCAUCCCGCCUGGGGAGUACGGUCGCAAGACUGAAACUCAAAGGAAUUGACGGGGACCCGCACAAGCG
rnacentral:rRNA from 1 species